CUCUAACCUAGAACAUUUUCUGAUUUUAUUCUUUUCUCUUUGUGCCUCUCUAGACUUCAAAGCAGCAAAAAUUGAAAAAGCUCCAGAAACUCACAGCUUCCCAGUGGGAAGAAAAUCUUAGGAUGAGCUGCUCUGAAGCUAAUCGGACACACUUUUCAGGUCUCCCUAUGGGAUGGGCCCAGGAGUAUGUACUCUGGUCAAUGGACAGAAGUCUUCAACAGAUCUUCCAACAUCUGGAAUGUGCAAGGUCAGGGAAGGUCGUUUCUGGGAGGAGGUUGGGUGGUGGAAGUUUUUGUUUUUGUCUUAAGUAAACUCUACUUGAAUUGAAUUGAAUUGAAUUCUUGAGAUCAAGAAUUGCAUGCUCUACCAACUGAGCCUAGCCAGAUGCUCCAAAGGUGGUAGAACUUUUAAGAGGGAGGGAGGAAGAGACCAAAGAAGGGAGGUAGUAGAGAGGGAAAGAGGGAGGGAAAAAGAGAGGGAAAAGAGUGAUUGUUAGUUGGUUGCUCAUUUACUUAGUUUGGGCAGUGGGGAUAAAUUCUGGGUCCAAAGGUUUAGUCCAUGGAUCAUUUCUGAUUGGAAUGGAGACCCAUACCUUCCUCUCCUCCUCGGAGAGGAAUUCUUUACUUAAGUAAUUGAUAUUGGGGAAAACAACCUCUUUUGUUGU